ACGGCUCAGUAACACGUGGACAACCUACCCAAGAGUCAGGGAUAACCCCGGGAAACUGGGGAUAACACCUGAUAGGCCAUGACAUCUGGAAUCGAGUUGUGGUUUAAACGUAAGGCUCUUGGAUGGGUCUGCGGCGGAUUAGGUUGUUGCCGGUGUAACGUACCAGCAAGCCUGUAAUCCGUACGGGUUGUGGGAGCAAGAGCCCGGAGAUGGAUUCUGAGACACGAAUCCAGGCCCUACGGGGCGCAGCAGGCGCGAAAACUCUACAAUGCAGGCAACUGCGAUAGGGGAACAUCGAGUGGCACCCACCAUGGGUGUCUGUCCAAUCGUCUAAAAAACGAUUGUCAGCAAGGGCCGGGCAAGACCGGUGCCAGCCGCCGCGGUAAUACCGGCGGCUCGAGUGGUGGCCGAUAUUAUUGAGUCUAAAGGGUCCGUAGCCGGCUUUGCAAGUCCCCUGGGAAAUCCAGCGGCUUAACCGUUGGGCUUUCAUGGGAUACUACAUUGCUUGGGACUGGGAGAGGUAGGAGGUACUCAGGGGGUAGGGGUGAAAUCCUGUAAUCCUUUGGGGACCACCGGUGGCGAAGGCGUCCUACCAGAACAGGUCCGACGGUGAGGGACGAAAGCUAGGGGCACGAACCGGAUUAGAUACCCGGGUAGUCCUAGCCGUAAACGAUGCUCGCUAGGUGUCACGGCAGUCGUGAAUUGUCGUGGUGCCGUAGGGAAGCCGUGAAGCGAGCCACUUGGGAAGUACGACCGCAAGGUUGAAACUUAAAGGAAUUGGCGGGGGAGCAC
rnacentral:rRNA from 1 species